rnacentral:rRNA from 1 species
GACGAACGCUGGCGGCGUGCCUAAUACAUGCCAGUUGAGCGCUGAAGGUUGGUACUUGUACCGACUGGAUGAGCAGCGAACGGGUGAGUAACGCGUGGGGAAUCUGCCUUUGAGCGGGGGACAACAUUUGGAAACGAAUGCUAAUACCGCAUAAAAACUUUAAACACAAGUUUUAAGUUUGAAAGAUGCAAUUGCAUCACUCAAAGAUGAUCCCGCGUUGUAUUAGCUAGUUGGUGAGGUAAAGGCCCACCAAGGCGAUGAUACAUAGCCGACCUGAGAGGGUGAUCGGCCACAGUGGGACUGAGACACGGCCCAAACUCCUACGGGAGGCAGCAGUAGGGAAUCUUCGGCAAUGGACGAAAGUCUGACCGAGCGACGCCGCGUGAGUGAAGAAGGUUUUCGGAUCGUAAAACUCUGUUGGUAGAGAAGAACGUUGGUGAGAGUGGAAAGCUCAUCAAGUGACGGUAACUACCCAGAAAGGGACGGCUAACUACGUG